UACCGCCGCCAAACUCAGAACCGGACUUGUUAUUGAGCUCCAACCAAGCCUUGUUCUCGUAAAAGCAAGCACCUUUCCACUCCACGGCGUCGUUUUUAAUAGAGGCGGCGCCUAUGUAAGUAGGGAGGAGGUCGACGGCGGAGUUGAGAGAGUUGAGAAGCGGCCAGGAGAGUUGCCUGGGCAAGAGCGGGAGCAGGUCCCGAGGGUGAAAUGGUAAUUUGACGGAUGAAACAGUGAGAACCAUCAGAACGGUAACGGCGAAGAUGAUGGCCGGAGAAGACGAAGAAACCGCCAUGGGUCAAUCAAAGUGUCUCCCUUUCCGUGUCGAACUCGCAACUGUUAAUGACUUGGUUUAACGUAUUUAUUCGAGUAUAUUCCUCGAAUACAUGUAAUCAAAACUUUAUAUUUAUAUAUGUUUUGUUAUGGGGGUGUAAUAGCUAUUUUUAAAAUGUUAGGUGUAAUUCUGUGAGUUUAGAAACUAAGAAGCCAAAUUCUGAAACGUUUCUAUAAGUUUCGCAACUGGUCAUCUCAUCUCUAGUGAUCACUAUAGCCCCACGCAUCUCUUACGUAUACCACAACAUAACUAUACCCUAAUCUCUUCCUCUUUAUCAUUGGCUUAAGUUUUGAAAAAAAGAACUAGAAGAAGACACAUCAUCUCUUUCAAUGGCUGUUUCAUUUCAAACCAAGUACCCUCUAAGACCCAUCACCAACGUCUCAAGAACCAACCGUCCUUCACUUCUCCAUGUUCGUGUCACGUGCUCUGCUACUACCACAACCACCACAAAGACUCAGCCUAACCGUGAAAAAAAGCUUGUGGUUGAGAAACGUUUUGUGAGUCCUCCUCUUUCCAACGACCCAACUCUGCAGUCUACAUGGACUCACCGCUUAUGGGUUGCAGCUGGUUGCACCACAUUGGUGGCCUCUUUAGCUAAGUCUAUCAUCGGAGGGGUUGGUUCUCACCUCUGGCUCGAACCAGCUUUAGCCGGUUAUGCAGGGUACGUCUUGGCUGAUCUUGGCUCUGGUGUGUACCACUGGGCUAUAGAUAACUACGGAGAUGAGUCAACGCCACUUGUAGGAGCAUCUAUAAAUUGCCUAACUACUAGUGAUUUCUUGAACAUUGGUUUCACAUGAUCAUAUACAAAUAUAGAAACAAAGCAAGUGAAGUAGAAUUAAUCAACAAGUCUCUAUUAAGAACCUUCACAACUCUAAACCCACACACAAAAACUUCAACAUAUUCCCUCAAAAUCAAACCUUUGAAACAGUAAAAAAAAUUAAUCAUUUCGUCAACCUUAAUGUGAAGUGUACCGCCGCCAAACUCAGAACCGGACUUGUUAUUGAGCUCCAACCAAGCCUUGUUCUCGUAAAAGCAAGCACCUUUCCACUCCACGGCGUCGUUUUUAAUAGAGGCGGCGCCUAUGUAAGUAGGGAGGAGGUCGACGGCGGAGUUGAGAGAGUUGAGAAGCGGCCAGGAGAGUUGCCUGGGCAAGAGCGGGAGCAGGUCCCGAGGGUGAAAUGGUAAUUUGACGGAUGAAACAGUGAGAACCAUCAGAACGGUAACGGCGAAGAUGAUGGCCGGAGAAGACGAAGAAACCGCCAUGGGUCAAUCAAAGUGUCUCCCUUUCCGUGUCGAACUCGCAACUGUUAAUG
rnacentral:lncRNA from 1 species